GCCGAAGUGGUGGAAUUGGUAGACACACUAUCUUGAGGGGGUAGCGGAGAGAUCCGUGGGGGUUCGAGUCCCCCCUUCGGCA
rnacentral:tRNA from 1 species